rnacentral:rRNA from 1 species
GAUGAACGCUAGCGGGAGGCCUAACACAUGCAAGCUGAGCGGUAGAGUUUCUUCGGAGACUUGAGAGCGGCGUACGGGUGCGGAACACGUGUGCAACCUGCCUUUAUCAGGGGGAUAGCCUUUCGAAAGGAAGAUUAAUACCCCAUAAUAUAUAGAGUGGCAUCACUUUAUAUUGAAAACUGAGGUGGAUAAAGAUGGGCACGCGCAAGAUUAGAUAGUUGGUGAGGUAACGGCUCACCAAGUCGAUGAUCUUUAGGGGGCCUGAGAGGGUGAUCCCCCACGCUGGUAAUGAGACACGGACCAGACUCCUACGGGAGGCAGCAGUGAGGAAUAUUGGACAAUGGGUUAGCGCCUGAUCCGGCCAUCCCGCGUGAAGGACGACGGCCCUAUGGGUUGUAAACUUCUUUUGUACAGGGAUAAACCUAUUUACGUGUAAAUAGCUGAAGGUACUGUACGAAUAAGCACCGGCUAACUCCGUGCCAGCAGCCGCGGUAA